rnacentral:rRNA from 1 species
GACAGAGGGUGCGAACGUUGUUCGGAAUUACUGGGCGUAAAGCGCGUGUAGGCGGACUGGUGUGUCGGAUGUGAAAUCCCCAGGCUCAACCUGGGAACUGCAUUCGAAACUGCCAGCCUUGAGUGGUGGAGAGGGAAGUGGAAUUCCUGGUGUAGAGGUGAAAUUCGUAGAUAUCAGGAGGAACACCAGUGGCGAAGGCGGCUUCCUGGACACCAACUGACGCUGAGACGCGAAAGCGUGGGGAGCAAACAGG